rnacentral:rRNA from 1 species
UACGUAGGGUGCAAGCGUUUGUCCGGAAUUAUUGGGCGUAAAGAGCUCGUAGGCGGUUUGUCGCGUCUGCUGUGAAAACGCGGGGCUCAACUCCGCGCCUGCAGUGGGUACGGGCAGACUAGAGUGCAGUAGGGGAGACUGGAAUUCCUGGUGUAGCGGUGGAAUGCGCAGAUAUCAGGAGGAACACCGGUGGCGAAGGCGGGUCUCUGGACCGUAACUGACGCUGAGACACGAAAGCGUGGGUAGCAAACAGG